GCCUCGGUAGCGCAGUAGGCAGCGCGUCAGUCUCAUAAUCACUCUCAAGAGUAAUCUGAAGGUCGUGAGUUCGAUCCUCACCCGGGGCA
rnacentral:tRNA from 13 species